rnacentral:rRNA from 1 species
AUUGAACGCUGGCGGCAUGCUUUACACAUGCAAGUCGAACGGUAACAGGUUAAGCUGACGAGUGGCGAACGGGUGAGUAAUGCAUCGGAACGUGCCCGGUCGUGGGGGAUAACGCAGCGAAAGCUGCGCUAAUACCGCAUACGAUCUAAGGAUGAAAGCGGGGGACCGUAAGGCCUCGCGCGAUCGGAGCGGCCGAUGGCAGAUUAGGUAGUUGGGGGGGUAAAGGCUCACCAAGCCAACGAUCUGUAGCUGGUCUGAGAGGACGACCAGCCACACUGGGACUGAGACACGGCCCAGACUCCUACGGGAGGCAGCAGUGGGGGAUUUUGGACAAUGGGCGAAAGCCUGAUCCAGCAAUGCCGCGUGCAGGAAGAAGGCCUUCGGGUUGUAAACUGCUUUUGUACGGAGCGAAAAGGUCUUCUCUAAUACAGGGGGCUCAUGACGGUACCGUAAGAAUAAGCACCGGCUAACUACGUGCCAGCAGCCGCCGUAA